rnacentral:rRNA from 1 species
GUGGGGAAUAUUGCACAAUGGGGGAAACCCUGAUGCAGCGACGCCGCGUGGGGGAUGACGGCCUUCGGGUUGUAAACCUCUUUCAGUAGGGAAGAAGCCUUCGGGUGACGGUACCUGCAGAAGAAGUACCGGCUAACUACGUGCCAGCAGCCGCGGUAAUACGUAGGGUACAAGCGUUGUCCGGAAUUAUUGGGCGUAAAGAGCUCGUAGGUGGUCUGUCACGUCUGCUGUGGAAACGCAAGGCUCAACCUUUCGCGUGCAGUGGGUACGGGCGGACUAGAGUGCAGUAGGGGAGUCUGGAAUUCCUGGUGUAGCGGUGAAAUGCGCAGAUAUCAGGAGGAACACCGGUGGCGAAGGCGGGACUCUGGGCUGUAACUGACGCUGAGGAGCGAAAGCAUGGGGAGCGAACAGG